GAUGAAGAACGCAGCGAAAUGCGAUAAGUAAUGUGAAUUGCAGAAUUCAGUGAAUCAUCGAAUCUUUGAACGCACCUUGCGCCCUUUGGACAUUCCGAAGGGCAUGCCUGUUUGAGUAUCAUGAACACCUCAACUCUCACGGCUUGUCCGUGAUGAGCUUGGACUUUGGGGGUCUUGCCGGCCUGUGGUCGGCUCCUCUCAAAUGGAUCAGCUUGCCAGAGUUUGGUGGCAUCACAGGUGUGAUAACUAUCUGCGCUUGUGGUUUUCCAUCAGAUAACCUUCAGUGAUAUGGAGGUUCGCUGGAGCUCACAAAUGUCUCUCCUUAGUGAGGACAGCUCUUUGAACGUUUGAUCUCAAAUCAGGUAGGACUACCCGCUGAACUUAAGCAUAUCAAUAAGCGGAGGA
rnacentral:misc_RNA from 1 species